rnacentral:lncRNA from 1 species
CUGACCUUGAAAGCUGACUCUGCCCUCAAACUCCUCAUCCUGCCCAGAGCCUCCGGAGCGGACGGGUCAAACAGGAUCCGCAAGUUUGCUGAGAUUCAGGACGACAGCAUGGGAUUCUCUGCACAGAUGUCAAAGCAAUGAAAUGUCAGCGAAGUUCACUGUGACCCUGGGGGCUGUCGCCCUCCCCCCGCUCACCCACCUCCUCACAGUCGCCUUUGGCAGGGCUGGUCUGCACUAUUAAUAAACCUGCCCCCGGC